CAUUUGUAAAUCUCUGCUCCUCUCUCGUUCUCUUCCCCAUUUCUACUACCAGCAACAUCGUUAUCAACAUCAUAAACCCCCAAAUACUUUUCUCUCUUUUUUUUCGAAACCCUAGAGAUCUCUAUCUGUCUGAAGAGCCCCCAAACCCAAAACCUAAUGGUCAUCGUCGAUGAAGAAGAAGAUAGAAAAACAUGUUGGAACUAGGGUUAAUACCAUAGGGAAAAGAUGGGGUUCUAGGUCUUCUGUAAAGAACACAACCUUGAAUUUGAAUUUGUUUCUUCGUUAUGGAUUCCACGAAUCAACAUCACGUUUCUUAUAGCUUGGGUUAAAGCGAUUUUGAACUCAGGAUUAUGGUUUCACCUUGGGAUCAUUUGUGUUUGUCGUAAUCGACUUGUUGAGCAUGUCUGAAGAGAACUAUUGGUAUGCUUUUAAGCUACUUAUGUGUUUUUCCAGAUCUGUCGUUUAAUUAUAUUUUCGAUUCUCGUUGUAAUGUGAUCCUGAGGGAUAUAAUGAAAAAUGUGGGGACCUAAAUGAUUGUAUCUCCACUCCCAAGGCUGCUGAUUUUGAUGCAAAACUCAGUAAGGAGAAAAUCAACAAUUUACCAUUACCUAGUCAGGUGGAUUUUAUCAUUGAUGGUCCUCGUUGCCAGGGUUUUUCUGGAAUGAAUAAAUUUAAUCAAAGUACAUGGAGUAAGGUCCAAUGUGAGAUGAUCUUAGCAUUUAUAUCCUUUGCUGAUUAAUGGUAAAUAUGCAACACACUGCUCUUUGAUUGCUUCCCGCUUUUCUCUUCCACCAUUCAGUCACCCCCCCUCAAAUUCCUGUAAAGAGUGACAUUAGAAGUUUGCGCCUAAGAGUUGGGUAAGUUCUCCAGCUGAAACUGAAUGAUGGAACUGAAUGGAGACAGCGCAUACAAUAAGAGGUUGGGCACCUCAUAGAUGUCUCCGGGUUGUCUUAUGAUGUGAUUGCCCGAUUAAUUAACGAGGAUAAUCUCUAUCUCGGAUUCUUUAUCUUUAUCUCUAUCUCGGUCAUAAUAAUCUCAAGAUCUACAGAUUUGAUUGUUGUUGGGAAGAAAUAAUAAUUAUGUUCAAAGGUGUAGAACUGACUUUCGUUGUUCUUUUUGUUAGAACUCCACCUUCAUUUCAUUCUCCAGUAUCUUCACCACCAAAUUUCUCGUCUUCAGCAUCACAUGACCAGUUACAUAUGUUAGUUUAAUUGUCUUUUAUGGCAGAAAAUACAUCUCAUUUAGUUUCAGGUUUAAAAUAUUUCAAAUUUCUUUUCCAGGUUGCACGAUUUCUUUAUGCAAAUUCUGGUGGUGGCGUUUUGGCACUUGGUUACAAUGGGAUUCAAAGAUUAUGGAACUGGGUCUAUGUGCUACCAAUUAAGCAACUGGAUUAGUUUAACAUUUUUUUCGAAUUUCAUUCAUAAUUACAUCAGUAUUGACUUCCUGCUUGCUGAAUUUGCUUGUUGGCAGGGCAAUUGGGUUCAUUCUACGAGGGCAGCGAAGAUGACAUUAAUGAGUCUUGUUCCUAUGUUUGGAAAUGCGGUCAUUCGGUGACACCUAAAGUCUUCCUCUAGAUACAUUUGGUUCUGGCACAAUGAGCUUCUUCUAUGCAACUUGCUAAAGAGGUGAGCGAAAGAAAAGCUAAAGGGGAGGCAGAGAAGGACAAACAUGUGGCAGUAAGUAAAGAAUGCUAGUGGGGAUGAGAAACUAAUUGGUGGUCUCGCAUGCUUGAUGUUAGAGACUAGGAAGGAAGUUUAAUGAAUCUCUUUGGAAAAAUUCAAGGUUCUUCUCUAUGUUCAUCAUUUUAUUGGAUGUCAUUCUUUUGAUACUACACACGGAAUUUGUAUGUCAUUGGGACUUGAGAAAUGUUUCUAGAUAUGGCUAUACUUAGUGAUGUGUUUCUUACUUUUUGUGUGUAUGGAGUUCAUCAUGGUAUGUUAUGGUGAAUUAAUUUUACGAAAGAAUUAUUCUUUUUGGAUUAAUUUGAUUUGUAAUAAA